UCCUGUUCACUGUCUGCGUCUGGCUGAAGGGCUUCAGCUGUGUCUGGGGUGCUCUGCAGCUGAGGGGGAGAAGGAGCUGGUUUCUCAGGAGUUUCCUCCAUUUCUCCUUCUGGGUCUGCUGCUUCUGGGUCUGCUGCUGUUACUCCCGAGUCAUCCUUGUCUGAUGAGUCCUCCGACGGGGCCAUGACACCAUGCAUGCAGUUAACCACUGUGUGAAUGGUUUUUUCAAAGUAAAAUGCAGGCAUCAGUGAUGCCAAAAGGACCUGGAGUUGACCCUGAAUUGCAUCAACUGAUUUACUUUCAGUUGUUUCAGCAGGCUUUGAGUCAGGCCAUGGCAGGAAUCAUAGUUCCUAUUCAUAUCCACAAUUAAUGGGUCAUACAGAGAAUGUAAAAAAAAUGAUCAAUAGUCAUUAGUGUGAAAUUAGUUUCACUUUCUUUCCGUAUUGCUCUUGUGCUGGGUAUGUGCCGAGCAACGUUCCAGCCGCAAGAGCACAGGACAUUGGAUGAAGGGCUACAUGUUGUUGUUAUGACCCAAUGCAUGAAACAACUACAUAUUACUGUUUACUAGGAACCUUGUGUCGAAUCUUGACAAGCAGAACUCUGAAAGUCAGGAAAUAGGAUGCUGGUGGUGUGAAUGAAAACAACACAGUCAAACAGCGACAUUCCAUCCAGAGUGUCAAGACAAGAGCAGUUGAAAGCAUCAGCGGUGUAUUGGCUGGAGAUGUAAAGCAAUCAUGCCAUGGGCAAUGGAUACAUUGUAGUGGUUCCUGAAGCAAAAUAACACCUGCAUCUACAAUUCUGAUCACUGACUGUUUUUAAGCUUCACUAAAAAUUGCUGAAGUGGUUCUAUUGUCAGCAAUUUGCCUGAAUUUUUUUAUGCGUGCAAUUUGUCAUCAGUUUGUUUUUCUUUUAGAUUUGGCAAUGAUGGUUCAAAUAUUCUUUUCCAGCCAUAAACGAUCAUUUGUAAUGCACCCAUUUUUUAAUGCUCUCUGAAAACGCGCAGAAUGAAUAUGGAGUGACGGUGGAGCUAUUAUAAGCUAGGGUAGGUGGCGUUCCAGACGCUUAUAAAAUGAAUGUCACACUCCAUGUUGCAAAGUUAAACUGCCCUUGUUAUAUAUUGCACUUCUCUUUUGACACAGGAGAGCUGUCAAGCUUUUCAAGGAGAGGAGGGUGGUUCCUUGCAUCUGAGAAUGGCCAAAUGAUCUGGCUCAAAACAGAAUGAUUAGAAAGGAACAUUGAUGAAAUUGGAGCGAUAUAUCAAAAUGCUUUAUUUCACCGAUGUUCAAACUCAUCUGUUAACGGACAUAAGACACCUAGUCCUAUAUAUCUUCAGUUCUUUCAAUGGGACUAUCCUGGAACAAGCAGUUGAAGCGAUGCCAAGAAAAUAGUGUGGAUAAUGAUGCAAAUCUAGGAGCAAAAGAAUGGAGGCAGAAGGGUUAUUGACAAUGUAUUGUUUGGCCCUGAAUUGCAUCCAGCUCUUUGGGUGUCAUUGAUGCAGUCAUGAAAAAGUCUUGUCAUACAUUUGUUCAUUUAUUUAAAAUAUCUUCUCUGCAAGCCUGUGAAAUUGAAGAGUGUGAGCUGAGGUCCCAGAUUAAAAUUCCAUUUCAGACAAGAACCUUGUGAAUUUAGGCAAGCCGCUAUUCUCUUGUUCUUAUUCUCCCAAUCUAUAAUAUGGGGAAAGUGAUACUUGCACAUUUUUUCUAAGGGUUACUCAGAUAAUGUAUCUCAGGAGCGGGGAACCUGUGGCCCUCCAGACCUUGCUGGAGCAUUAUUUUCAUUAUCCUUGGCCACUGGCCAUUCUGGCUGAGACUGUUGGGUGCUGGAAGUCCAAAGACAUCACAGCGGCCACAGGUUACCCACACCUGAUGUUUAUUAUGGCAAGUAACCUGUUUUGGGGCAAGGUACUUGAGAGGGUGGUGGUGACCCAGCUGCAGCCAUGCUUGGAGGAAACCGAUCAUCCAGACCCAUUUCAGUUUUGCUUAAGACCUGGUCAUGUCUUGGUUGCCCUGGUUCAUGACAUUUGUCAGGGAAGA